UAUCCAUCUCCAAAUAAAAAAAGUGCAGAUGGCAGAAAUAAUUGUUCUUAAAAUCAAUGUUACACUAACAAUAAUUUUCUUGUUCUCAAUUUGAUAAAUCAAUGUUUACACAAUAAUUUGUAUACCUCGUUAAUUAUCAAUAAAAAAUUACAAAGUAACUGCAGAUAAUAAAUAGAACACAAUUAUAUAUAUAAAAAAUUACAAUUAACAGCAGAUAAUAAAUAGCACACCAUUGUGAUAAGGUUUAUCAUGAUGUAUAUGUAUCCAACGGUAAUUAUAACUCUUGCACCUACAAGUUAGUUUAGCCGAUGCAUAUCUCUUUUGUAAGCUGUAUCUAUUAUAAUGUGAAUACAAGUUUUGGUUCCAACGCUUGUGCAUUGCACCAAACAAUGGAGCAGAAAAGGAAACAAGAAAAAUUACCAAGUUCUGAAUGUGCCAGGCGAAUGUAAAGAUCUGUCCCUCCACUGGGGAAUCUCUGCACAUCAAUUAAGUUUCCAAUCCUUAAUACACAGCCAAAUCUGUAUGAUACAAAUAAGCUGUGCAGGAGCAAUUAUCCUUGUUGGAAAAACAGAGGAAAUAGAGAGGAGAGCUCAAAAUAAAACUCGAGAGCAUAAAAGAGAAACAUAAAUUCUGCUGAGUGUGCAACACAAGAAAGAGAAACAUAAACUCAUAGAUUAAAACAAGAGAUAUACAACCAGCUAUAUUUAAAAUAAGAAGCGCUUUCUUCUUUUUUUUCUUUUCUUCAUUUU
rnacentral:misc_RNA from 1 species